GACGAACGCUGGCGGCGUGCCUAAUACAUGCAAGUUGAGCGCUGAAGGUUGGUACUUGUACCAACUGGAUGAGCAGCGAACGGGUGAGUAACGCGUGGGGAAUCUGCCUUUGAGCGGGGGACAACAUUUGGAAACGAAUGCUAAUACCGCAUAAAAACUUUAAACACAAGUUUUAAGUUUGAAAGAUGCAAUUGCAUCACUCAAAGAUGAUCCCGCGUUGUAUUAGCUAGUUGGUGAGGUAAAGGCUCACCAAGGCGAUGAUACAUAGCCGACCUGAGAGGGUGAUCGGCCACAUUGGGACUGAGACACGGCCCAAACUCCUACGGGAGGCAGCAGUAGGGAAUCUUCGGCAAUGGACGAAAGUCUGACCGAGCAACGCCGCGUGAGUGAAGAAGGUUUUCGGAUCGUAAAACUCUGCUGGUAGAGAAGAACGUUGGUGAGAGUGGAAAGCUCAUCAAGUGACGGUAACUACCCAGAAAGGGACAGCUAACUACGUG
rnacentral:rRNA from 1 species